CUGGACAUGAAAUGUUAUGGGAGUUAUGUCUAGCUUUGGAUCCACUGAAUUCACAUAUUACAGAAAUCAGAUCAGAGCAAAGCUGAUGGGUAACAAAGAAGUUGAUGUAGAGGGUCCCUCCAUUAAGUCUCUACAUAAUUAUCGAUGAAAAUGUUUCCUUCCUCCUACAAUUAUGCUAACAAAUCCAGAGAGGGAAUACUUCACACUGAUGCUAGUAUGAUGCUAGUAUGAAAACAAGAUUAUUCUGUGCCACAAACAAAUUGUUCAGAAAGGGGACAUUGGUGGAUUUGCAUUUUGGGUACAGUUCAAAGAAUUUUCAAUAUGAUGAUGGAAGAUCAGAGGGAGGACAAAUGGGAAAAGUUGACAGAGAAAGAAAAGAAUUAGGAAAUAUCUGGAAUAAAUAUGAAUGAGAAGGAUGUACUUAAUUUUGUCAGACUUUGACAUGCAAGGCUUUCUACAUUUAUAUGUAUACUGGAAUAUCAUUUUGAUUGUAAAAUCUCAUUCUAAUGUAUUCACAUUUUAUAUUUCAUGCUUUAUGCAUAAAUACAUAAACAUUUUUAUGAAAAACUAUAUAUAUGUAUAUAUGUAUCUUUGUUCGAUCGAGACAUCAUCCUUUGUGAUUUCAUACUCAUUUAUGUGUUAAAUAUGCUGUAGGUACAUGUAAUCUGA